ensembl:lncRNA
CCCCUGUUCCAAAUAAGGUCCCAUUGUGAGGUACUGAGAGUUAGGACUUCAACACAUGAUUUUUGAGGGAGCGCAGUGAGAUCCACAACACAGUCACGCUGUGUGCCUUUCUGCAUGAUUUCUGUGUCCAGGACCUUGGCUUUCUCCUGCUUUCCUCUUCCUUAUAUCACACAGUUCUGGUUCCAAACUAGUAUUUAGUAAACCCACACCCACAGGUCACCUAUGGCAGUGCUCCGUAUUCUGAGCACAGCUGACUUCCCACCUUACAGUUCAGGCCCUGUGCUCUGGGAAGAAAGGAAGUUUGCUGUCUUAGGAACAUCCCAGACGAUAAGGAGCUAAGAGAACAACUUGUCUGAAGGACCCUUUGAUGACCCACUCAUCCUUCCUACACUCACGCUGUCUUUGCUUGUGUCUCCUUACUCACCGACUUUUCCUCUUAGCAAAUUCCUUCAGACAAAGAGUCUCCUACCUCCUUAAGCCCAGCCCGCCCCAAGAGAGGAUCUCGCAGGCAGGCCAUGCAUAGAGAUGAUCAGCAUGGGCACCGCAGAGCAAGGUUAAUGAAGAGAAGUUUUAAUUCUAUGGCCAUCUCCACACCCCCUCUCCAUUUAUAUUUUCAACAUAUGGCUGGCUUUUUAAUGUCGCUUUAAUGUUUUCUCUUGUAUUUAAUUAUUUAAAGAUUUAAUAAGAAACUGCUGAGAAUCAAUUGCACACAAGGGACACAUUUCUUUGAAUUUUUGUUCUUUUUUCUCUGCUUUUGCAUAAGAGUUAAUUUAAGUCAUUGGAAACUAAAAACACAAAGCUAAAAGGGGGAAAGAAGAGAACAACGUAAAGGCAUUCAGAAAAGGAUAUCUGUAGGUGAAAUCAAACCCCCAACGGCAUGUGAUGUGUAUCUCUUAUCAGCACUAGGCAGUGGCGAUAACCAAGGAACCCAAAACAAAUCACUUUCAUUCCAUUCGUGUCUAAUAAUAGAAAGUCAGUAGCUUAUAUGUCAAAAAUUUUCUUUUUAAAAUAAAUUCCUUUUGGGGUUGGUUCUGUGUGUUGGGGGCAAGGAAAUGGAAGGAUAUUCACCACUACAGGGGUCUAGUUUUAUUGACAGAGAAAGGGAAUUUUUAUAUCACUUUCAGAAUUUUAAAUGGUUUGUUGCUGAAUAUUUUAGGAUCUCCUUUCCACAUUUAUAACUAUUAUCUGAAUGAACUAAUCCAGUUAAGAAGGCAUUCAUUCAUUAACAUAUUCUGCUUAUGUGUUCUGAAUGACCAACUUUGCCAGACAAUAUGCCAGGUAUGAAGGAUCCAACCAGAAGAAAUGCCAACUCGACCCCUGCUUUCAUAGCCACUCACACCCACCCUUGGGGAGCAGAGUCACAAAGGACAGUUAUCGUGCGUGUGCUCUGAUGUGGGAAGGACAGGAUACUACAGAAGCCAAGGGAAAGGCACUCAAUCCAGAUUGGAAGGAAAGGGAAAUGCUUCCUGGAAGAAGACAUGGCUAUCACGAGACCUGAAAAAUGAAUAGGAACACAAAUGAUGAAGUGUGACCUCUGUUAUGUUCAUUUUGUCAAACUCUGUCAUAAACCUGAAAAUCAGCAUCAACAUGAUCUUCAUCAUCUUCAAACAGCACAUGGUAACAAGGAGUUGAUAUGGUCUGUGAUUUGCUGCAGGACAGCAUCCACAACAAACUGCGAACCACAGCACGGUGUAACAGAGUAGCCUCAAAUUUCCAUCAAAGGAAUGAGUUGUCUGAGGAAGCAAUGUGUUCCUCAUCCUUUAAGAGACUGAGGCAGCAAGGAGAAUGUUGGGGAAAGGAACUUUGGGCUGAAUUGAAGGACCACACGGAGGCGACAUUUCCAGCCACCUGGCAUUGAGACACAGUCUUGUCCUGGAAUGUGCACAUCACCACUUUCUUUAAAGACCACAAAACCCUCCCAUUUUUGAUUUUUCCCUUUCUCUCCCCAUCCGCUGGCUGAAUGUGGAGAAUUCUGAGGUCCUAAAAGGGGAUGAGGCUGGAAGAUGGCAGGCAUCUGGAUCUCAAAAGAUCACGCACAUGCUAACAAGGAGCACCCACAUUGAACCAUUAGAUAAAUAAGAAAUCCUUUCUCUACCGAGCUGGGAAGUUGUCUCCUGGGUGUUCCACAGCUAUUGUGCUCAGGUCACUCUAAAAGGCUAUCUAUCCUGGAGGAAGGUAGCACUGUAAAAGAGGAGAAAAAGUAAAAUAUAGUAGCCAUGAGAGUAACAAGCAAACACUCCCCCAAUGGACAAUGAAUGUGACAUUUCUCCUGGUCUGUAUGAUCAGCAUGAAUCAAUUGUGCUUUUGAAGACACGGCCCUAAUCCAUACAUGUUAACUUGAGGAUUUACCUUUCCUCACAACGGUAUAGACAACCUAAACCAUCUGGACUUGGAUGUGAAAUUGACGUGAUCAUACAAACAUAUUUCUGAGAAAGAGUUCAUAAGUUUCAUCAGAUUCACAAAGGGAUCUUCCACCCCAUCAUGAUCCUAUUACUCCCACCAGAAUACAGGGCAUACAUCCAUGGGCUUUCUGGUGGUUUGAGUUUAUUUCCCCACUCCUCCAAGGUGCUCUCUUCAAUUGUCUGCAAGGCUCCAUCACCCUAUUUCAGAGCACGCUGAGGAAGAAAGGGUGUCAAACCAAAUGCAGAAGAACUAAUAAGAAACCCAUGAAAUUGCUCACAAAGGCCUCCUUCUGUGGCUCUUCGUGCAAAU